UACGAAGGGUGCAAGCGUUACUCGGAAUUACUGGGCGUAAAGCGUGCGUAGGUGGUUUGUUAAGUCCGAUGUGAAAGCCCCGGGCUCAACCUGGGAAUUGCAUUGGAUACUGGCGGGCUAGAGUGCGGUAGAGGGUAGUGGAAUUCCCGGUGUAGCAGUGAAAUGCGUAGAGAUCGGGAGGAACAUCUGUGGCGAAGGCGACUGCCUGGACCAGCACUGACACUGAGGCACGAAAGCGUGGGGAGCAAACAGG
rnacentral:rRNA from 1 species